rnacentral:lncRNA from 1 species
AAUUCUUACUUCUAAUUAUAUGUUACGUCAGUGACAUAUCAAAAUAUUCUGAGAUACUCCAGCUCUCCCUACGGAUGCUCGUGCUCUCUGUACUCAUUCGAUCUCUGCCUCGGCCUACGAGCCCCAUGGCAAUCUUGGCUCCUGUAUCGACUGCUGACCCCCACCUCAACUAUCGACUCUAGACAUCGGCCAUCAAUCUACACUUUGAUGAGUGACC